ACAGCUAUAUCACGAUAAAAUACCUGUUCCCGUACAAUCCCCGUGUUUAAGCAACGUCGAGCCUGGGCAUUACCUAGAUGGGUAACCGCUUGGGAAUACCAAGUGUCGUAAG